UAUAUGACACAUCUGGUGCUGUUUUUACUCACGUUCUCCCACUUCAGAAAAUCUGAUGAUGGAAGAGCUAAGAAAGGAAUACUACUCAGAGAAAUUGAUACCAGAAGUGAAAUCAUUGUGAUACUAGCAAAUAGAGGAAUGUUCUACAAGGAAGAGAAACAGAGCAAGUAAGGUUAUUCCUAGAGGAGUCAUCAUCUGGUGCUUUGUACAAUGUAGGAAACAGGUUGUGAACAGGCAGACACUGUAUCUGCUCAUCCUGCCUGGACUGUUGGAGCACCUGUUACCAGCUGAAGACUUCUUCCAGCAAUUGUAGCUAGUUGCAAAGCACAAAUGUUGUACUUUCUCUAGUUACAGAAAACCAUCAGCUCCAGAUUGGUACUUGCACUUCACUCGGGCAGUAAGGAGGAUGUUUCAGCAGUCCAGCUCCAGUUGUUCUUGAUUUUCACCGAGUCUCAACAUAAGCUGUUGUUCAUAAUAAAGGCUCUUUGCAUAGUUUAUUUCUUGAGAUAGCUUUACUGCAAGAACUUCAGAUUUUACAUGGACCUGCAAAAAGAAAUGUUUAUUUUGUUAUGUAGCACUAAUGUUGUCUGAAGUAGAAUAUAGUUUUCAUUUCUCCAUUAAUUGAAAGGAUUGGAUUGGCUGUUUUUCAAGUCUCCUGUAACAAAUAGAGAUGUUUAGUGGUGAUUUCUUUCCUUCUCAGUGCUGAGGCUGAAAUACAGAAGGAGUGAGUGUGAUGCAGGUAAUAAUAGAUUAGGUAUUUUAGGAAGAGAGCAGAAACCAUCUUGCAAUAUUUGAAGUUACCUCCUUUGCCUCCCUUCCUUUCAUCUGGCUUGUCUGUUUGGAAUGUAAACUGACUUGGGUCAGGGGUGAGCUUGUAAACUUGUCCGUAAAAUAGACCCCUGAACAACUACUGUAAGGAAGCAAAAAAAAUGUGAGGUUUAGCAGUGAGAGUUCUGAUCAACUUAAAUAUGCAUGACAUAAAGAGUCUUUUCAGUCUUAGAUAUUCUGCAGUAAAAAGUGGCACGUGUGUGAGGAGAACAAAAAGCUGUAAGUAAUAAAUA